rnacentral:RNase_P_RNA from 1 species
GGAGUCGGCCGGGUGGCCGCGGCCGGGAGACCGGUCGAGGAAAGUCCGGACUCCGCAGGGCAGGACGCUGGGGAAAUCCCAGGCGGGGCGACCCGCGGAAAGUGCCACAGAAACAGACCGCCGGGCGUUGAGCCCGGUAAGGGUGAAAAGGUGAGGUAAGAGCUCACCAGCGCCCCGGGCGACCGGGGCGGCUCGGCAAACCCCGUUCGGAGCAAGGCCAAGCAGGAGGUGUGGGUGGCCCGCCCGCUUCGGCGCAACGGCAUGCCGGUCGAAGCACCUCCGGGUAGGCCGCAAGAGGCGGACGGCAACGUCCGUCCCAGAUGGAUGGCCGCCGGUGUCCGAGGGGACACCACAGAAUCCGGCUUACAGGCCGGCUCCACUU